CCUACGGGGUGCUGCAGUGGGGAAUAUUGGACAAUGGGCGAAAGCCUGAUCCAGCCAUGCCGCGUGUGUGAAGAAGGCCUUCGGGUUGUAAAGCACUUUCAGUGGGGAAGAAAGCCUUGGGGCUAAUACCCUCGAGGAAGGACAUCACCCACAGAAGAAGCACCGGCUAACUCCGUGCCAGCAGCCGCGGUAAUACGGAGGGUGCGAGCGUUAAUCGGAAUUACUGGGCGUAAAGCGCGCGUAGGCGGUCUGAUAAGCCGGUUGUGAAAGCCCCGGGCUCAACCUGGGAACGGCAUCCGGAACUGUCAGGCUAGAGUGCAGGAGAGGAAGGUAGAAUUCCCGGUGUAGCGGUGAAGUGCGUAGAGAUCGGGAGGAAUACCAGUGGCGAAGGCGGCCUUCUGGACUGACACUGACGCUGAGGUGCGAAAGCGUGGGUAGCAAACAGGAUUAGAUACCCGAGUAGUC
rnacentral:rRNA from 1 species